UCCUGGGCGUAAAUGAUGUGGGCUAGGUGCAAGGCUACCUAUGAGGUAGCCUGGUGCCGAUGGGAAGCCGUUAAGCCCACCGCCUGGGGAGUACGGCCGCAAGGCUGAAACUUAAAGGAAUUGGCGGGUGAGCACCACAAGGGGUGGAGGCUGCGGUUUAAUUGGAUUCAACGCCGGGAAACUCACCGGGGGCGACAGCAGAAUGAAGGUCAGGCUGAUGACCACCAGACAAG
rnacentral:rRNA from 1 species